CCGGAGGGGCCUUUCCAUCGCACUCCACCUAAGCCGCCUGGUCACCCGGCCGCUCCUCACCCCACCUCGCCCCACCCCUCCCAGAGUUAGGGAGCUUGAGUUUUCUAUGCUGUACGUCAGGCCAGCAGGGUUCGUCAGGCCGGCAGGGUUCGGCUGGAUUAUACUCAUGAAUAUUUCCUGCAGUAAGUGCAGGGAGAGGGUUACAAGAGCUACUAGGGCCUGGACUCCAAGUCCCCAGCCCCCAACUGCUGUAAGAGACAGACCAAUGACUGUAAAGUACUCAGACCUGUACCUGGAGCAGUGCAGGGUAUGGUGGCCAUUGCUGCAAUUACCUGGUAGUUCUGGUGCCAGCCUCCAACUGCUGACAUCUCUGCAGGAGACCACCCUUGGAUGCUGGUGAGAACCUGGGCUCACCAGCUGGAAGGCCUGGGCCUCACUCCAGGUUUGCUGGGCGUUCACCAUUCCCUACAACCCCCAGCCCCCAUUUACACCCUGGGAAACCUUGCACGGGGUCAUUCCCCUCUCUGAAGCCAGUGACUUAUCUGGGACCAGACAGGUGUGCGAGGAAUUGAGGAGAGCUUGUCAGUAAUCGGGAGUCGUGAACCACUGAGUGCCUGGCACAAGUAAGUUUUGUGAGACCGUGGCCAGAGUGUGGAGCUGGGACCCAGAAGGUCUGAUUCUAAUCCUGUGUUUACUGCUCAGUGCUGGGUGGAUUUAGGCCGGUUUCGUUUCAUCUUCCCAAAGUCCUCUGAGGACCUCAUUCCUGCCUAGUGUCCUGGGUCUGCCCUCACCCCUCCACAGUCCAUGCUCCCCGCAGCAGUCAGAAGGAUCCUACUAGAACCUCAGUCAGAUCCUGUAACUGAAUCCCACUCAGAAACCUUCCACGGCUCCAGCUCAGCCAGAGCACAGCCCAAGUCCCCAAAAGAUCCUACAAGGACCGACAUGGUCUGGCCCCCCUCCCACCUUUACCUCCCUGACCUCACAGCCCCCCACUCUCACGCUCACCCACGCUGCUUCAGCCACACUCAUCCUCAGCCCUUCCCCAAGUGUGCCAAACUCACUCCCACCUCAGGCCUUCGCACUGGAUAUUCUCUCUGCCUGGAAUGUUCUCCCUGAGGCUUGCACAGCUGGCUCCUUCCAUCAGAUCCCUCUGUCUCUGUUCAGCUGUCACCUCCACGGAGAAGCCCUCUCUGACCUGGUCUAAAGCGGGCACGCCAUUAUUCCAUCACUCUUAUUGUCUUAACUUGUUUUUUUUUUUUUCUUGACGGUACUUAACGUUUCCUGCUGUCAUAUUAAAGAUUCAUUUAUUUGCCUGUUUAAUGUUGGCUGUCAAGGCAGCUGGAUGACUCUCAUGUGGCCUCAGCAGAUUCAGAACAUCAAAAGAGAAAAGGAGUUUCCUGAGCCUCUUGUUUAUUUAUCCAGCUUGUCCGCUGGCAAAGCCAACAAUCCCAAAAAGGCCACAGAACAGGCCUGGAGGAUUUUCUCCAAAUUUGGGGGUCCCCAUAGAGCGGCCUUCUGGCAGUGGGGUUCAUAGCCCGGCUCGGCCAAUACUAAGCUGAAUGACCCUGGGCAGUCUGCUCCACCUCCCUCAGCUGCAGUGCCUCCUGGGUAGAAUAGGGUUGAGGUGAGGAGUAAAUGAUCCAAUCUAGGUGACACACCUAUCAGAGUCCCUGAUACCCAGCGAGCAUAAGUGGGCAUUAACUGUCAGAAUAAGCUGUCAGAGCUUAUUCCAGUUCAGCUUCUCACCUGAUGUGUGAUCAGGUCUCGUUUUUCUCAUCUGAAAAAUGGGAAGAACUGUUCCUUCCUCACAGGGCUGUUGUGAGGACUGAAUUAUAUAUAUGACGAGAGAAUGCGCGGAGCCUGGCACACAGUAGAGGCAAAAUCCCCUUCGGGAAGGAGAUGAGCUGCUUGUACACCAAGGAGAGAAGAAUGUUUUAUGGCCCCUGACUGCUCUCUUGCUAACAGAACUUGAUUUUGCUCAGGAAUCGGGCAGGUGUUUAGGAAGGUGAACCACCCCUUCCCCAGGAAGUGAACGACCAUGUGUCUGAAGCAGCCAGCCAAAAACAUUCCUAACCAAGAUGACCUUCCACUUACGGCCAUGGUGAAGAUAACGUGUCUGUAGCACCUCACACAGUACUGCCAUGGUAUCCAGCUGGCAACGGACCUGCAGGUGGGAGGGAGCGCAUUGGAUGCAGCAACAAGAGAUAGCUCCUACGAAGAUAAACAAAAUGAAAAUAAGAAAGGCUUCCCUUAGCCCAGCGAGACUGAGCAGCCAGGAAGUGAGGGCGGGGAGAUCAAGACUAAAAAUUCCUGUCCUCUGUUCAAUAUUGGACACAACUUCGUGAA